GUCAGGGUGGUGUGGUGGUUUGAGCAUUAGACUAGGAUUCUGGGAGACCAAGGUUCAAAUCCUGACUUGGCCA
rnacentral:tRNA from 1 species